UGGAAACUNUCUGACUUGAGUGCAGAAGGGGAGAGUGGAAUUCCAUGUGUAGCGGUGAAAUGCGUAGAUAUAUGGAGGAACACCAGUGGCGAAAGCGGCUCUCUGGUCUGUCACUGACGCUGAGGCUCGAAAGCGUGGGUAGCGAACAGGAUUAGAUACCCUGGUAGUCCACGCCGUAAACGAUGAGUGCUAGGUGUUAGGCCCUUUCCGGGGCUUAGUGCCGGAGCUAACGCAAUAAGCACUCCGCCUGGGGAGUACGACCGCAAGGUUGAAACUCAAAGGAAUUGACGGGGGCCCGCACAAGCGGUGGAGCAUGUGGUUUAAUUCGAAGCAACGCGAAGAACCUUACCAGGUCUUGACAUCCCGAUGCUAUUCUUAGAGAUAGGAAGUUACUUCGGUACAUCGGAGACAGGUGGUGCAUGGUUGUCGUCAGCUCGUGUCGUGAGAUGUUGGGUUAAGUCCCGCAACGAGCGCAACCCUUAUUGUUAGUUGCCAUCAUUAAGUUGGGCACUCUAGCGAGACUGCCGGUAAUAAACCGGAGGAAGGUGGGGAUGACGUCAAAUCAUCAUGCCCCUUAUGACCUGGGCUACACACGUGCUACAAUGGUCGGUACAACGAGUUGCGAGCCGGUGACGGCAAGCUAAUCUCUGAAAGCCGAUCUCAGUUCGGAUUGGAGGCUGCAACUCGCCUCCAUGAAGUCGGAAUCGCUAGUAAUCGCGGAUCAGCACGCCGCGGUGAAUACGUUCCCGGGCCUUGUACACACCGCCCGUCACACCACGAGAGUUUGUAACACCCGAAGUCGGUGAGGUANCCUUUUAGGG
rnacentral:rRNA from 1 species